GAAUCUAUUGAUUCUCCCCCAAUUGGUUGGAUCGUAGGGACUCAGCACCUUUUGAUAUUUUGAGAAGAGUUGC
rnacentral:tRNA from 1 species